GACAGAGGCCUCGAGCGUUUAGGCGGAAUCACUGGGCUUAAAGCGUGUGUAGGCGGGCCCGUAAGUGUCUUGUGAAAUCCCACGGCUCAACCGUGGAACUGCUGGGCAUACUGCGGGUCUUGGGCCAACUAGGGGCAGCCGGAACAAGCGGUGGAGCGGUGAAAUGCGUAGAUAUCGGAAGGAACGCCGGUGGCGAAAGCGACGUGCUGGACCUUUUCUGACGCUGAGGCGCGAAAGCCAGGGGAGCGAACGGG
rnacentral:rRNA from 1 species